GAAUGUGUGACAGGAAAAAUUAAAUGCUGUCUCGUUUUAUUGAGUCCUCUAUAGAGGCCUGAAUGGAGCCUUUGCAUACCUCAAGUUCCUCUUUAGCUUGAGGGCUCUAUUUUUACCCAUAGAUUUUUUUAAAAAACCUAUAUCAGUUUCUUACUUUCUAGGUGUCUCCAAGUAAUUAAAUUGGCGGUUGGUGGCCUAACAUCUUCAUAAAACAGGUGGAGCUAGAACUUCUGUCAAAAAUGGCAUAUAUGUUUACAUAGACUUUAAAUAACUGCUUAAUUAUGGGGCCUGCUUCCUGUUAUAUAAACAGCAAGCAACAUUAUCCUAUAAACUGUAGGCCCUGUUAGUGAAGGAAACAAAUGAGACUAGAUUCCGUACAGAAGACAUGGAUCCAAGGGGGAUUAUACCAGCUGCUGUAUUCAUGCACAUGGAUUAUGCAUUGAUGAAUAUUUGUGUGUGCUUUUUUCUCUGUAGAUCUGCACUUGAGGGUUCCUAGAUCACAGGCAGAUUUAGCUUUUCUUAGGCAGUGUUUCAGUCAAGACACAUAGCUUGUAAGGCACCAAGCUCCAAACUGCUGUGGAUUUGAGAAUCUGUAGGUGAAGAAAUCAUAUCAGAAUUACAGUGGGGACUCUUCAUGAUCUGUGGUAGCUCUGGACAAUUUGGGAAAGGGGACUUGUGCAGUUUCGAAAUCUGCUAGGUUUCUGUUCCCAAGCCCAGCCCAUGCAGGCCUGCGAGCUCCUUGGGCUGGUGUACAAUGGAAUGAUGUGCAGCAAGGUAAUGCCCAGCCCUUGAAGAAGUUUGAAACACAUUCAAAGUACUAGUUCUGACUUUCAAAGCUCUGCAUAGCUUGCGGCCACGGCAGCACCCUGAAGCCACACAAUGGUGGCUACAUGCAAGAUGCUGUUGGAGGCAGCGCCCUUAGGAGGAAAGCUUCUGUCCAGGGAUCGAACCAGUCUGAAACAGGAGCCUUGUCAUGAUGCUCGAGUCUCACAGAGGGAAGAGAGCGUCUGGAGGAAGGAAGGUGGGAGAGGAAAGGACACAUUUUUCUGAGGCCUUUUGCUGAUAGAUCAGCUUUGGGGCCAUUUACUAGCCCCAAACCUGAGCAUUC